UACGAAGGGGGGCUAGCGUUGCUCGGAAUCACUGGGCGUAAAGCGCACGUAGGCGGCUUGUUAAGUCAGGGGUGAAAUCCUGGAGCUCAACUCCAGAACUGCCUUUGAUACUGGCGAGCUUGAGUCCGGGAGAGGUGAGUGGAACUGCGAGUGUAGAGGUGAAAUUCGUAGAUAUUCGCAAGAACACCAGUGGCGAAGGCGGCUCACUGGCCCGGUACUGACGCUGAGGUGCGAAAGCGUGGGGAGCAAACGGG
rnacentral:rRNA from 1 species